AUUGAACGCUGGCGGCAGGCCUAACACAUGCAAGUCGAACGGUAACAGGAAGCAGCUUGCUGCUUUGCUGACGAGUGGCGGACGGGUGAGUAAUGUCUGGGAAACUGCCUGAUGGAGGGGGAUAACUACUGGAAACGGUAGCUAAUACCGCAUAACGUCGCAAGACCAAAGAGGGGGACCUUCGGGCCUCUUGCCAUCGG
rnacentral:rRNA from 1 species